GAAAAAGCGUGCAUGAUGGGGUGAAAAACUACACUUCGAUAGGAAGCACUUUGUCCCUUUUUUUUUGCUAAACCCUAAACCUGCUCUUGGACUGAAAGAUGGUUGCCUUGCCUUCCCAGCCGCCUUGAUGGAUCAGUGUCUCUCUCUCUCUCUUUGGGGAUGGGUUGGUGCCGACUGGUUGUUCACCGUAUCAGCGGCGUAUCAGAAUUGCAGGCGGUGGUCGCUCAUGAUAGUUGAGCUGAUCACUGCAUUGGGUUUUACACCUUGAAUAUAUCUUUGCGGUGAGACUGUGUUGAAAUGAAUAGCUGAGGCUAAGGUUAUGGCAGUAACGAAACAUUGCAGUGUCUGUUAGAGGUGUGAUUUUAUUAAAUGAGAAUUCAGCAUUUUGUCGAACUGUGUGGCACCCCGUUGAAAUUCUUUGUAUGGAAUUGCGGGCAUUUGCGAGGUGUUUAAGAGGUUGAGAGCGAUGUGUAGUGACAUGAUUAGAGUUAGGGGUGGUUUCGAUUGGCGAUGGGUUUGGCAUCACGGAGGAGCGUGGGAUUGAUGCAGCGGUUCGUUUGUCGAGGUUUCAAAUCUUUCAAGUUCAUCUGCAACUCCGGAACUUGAGAAGUCGUCGAAGACAGUUGGCACACCUACACUUCAUCCCUCGUCACUGUUCGAUGCAUUAGAGCUGCAUUAGGAAUCUACUUCAUGAGAAAGUCUGUGUGCUCUAGUGCCACCUCACCAUUUGAGGAGUCUAUAGCAGCUGCCCGCGUUACGCCACAUGGCAUGCUUCCAAAUUUUGUUUUUUCAUAUGUUGCCAAGUGUAUUGAGAUAGGUUUUUAGCAAAGACUUCUGGAAUGGUUCGACUGCAUCACACCUGCUGGGGACUGUGUUCAACGUUUUCCAUUCAUUGUUUUCUAUAAACUGAUACCCAUUUUAGAGGAUGGUGCCGCUGGGCACUGUCGCCAGUGUGAAAAAUGUGAUAGGAUGAUGAUGGUGAGGCGAAUAAGAUAAGAAUGGGUGUGUAUUCUCCUUAUCAAGUUAUGCUUAGCUAAUAUGCCUCUGAAAUCAAUCAUUUACAGACAGCAUAAA